GGCAGUGCUUGCUGGGCUGAGCACAGCCUUGUGGCAAAACCCUCCUGGAGGUGGAGCCCUGCUAGAAAUAGCCUCACCCUGCCCAAGUGCAUCCUGGAAAUACAAGUGUGGAAAAUACGUCUUUUUGGGGGGGAGGGAUGCUGCCCUGAAGACAGAUUUACCCCAUCAAUGGACCUCCUGGGGGCCUGCAGUUCAGGAAAGGUUCUCCCUCCAACCCCUCCAAGUUCCUCGCAGGAAUGCCAGCACAGCCAAAGCUCUGUAUUUCUCAUGAAGAAACUUGGAAAAACAUCAGCACAGACAACAAAAGUCCCUAAUUCCAUGUGAAAAAAAUAUGCCAUCAUCGCUGGCUGCAGUCUAGAAACAGCCCUGCAGAGAAGACACAGGAACAAUUUCUCAUCUUAUUUCAUCACUUCACUGGCAAGAGAAACCUUCCCUUUGGUUAAGGCUGCAGAACAAGCUUCCUCCUACAUCCUUGUGAGAAGGGGUAAUGACUACACCAUGUAGCACGGAGCAGAGGCAACGACUUAGUGUCCCAUGUCAAGGUCAAUCUUCUUCUUGACUCCUAAAGGAAAAUAAGCAAGCCCUCAUGGAUCUGCCAGCCCACAAGCAGCAGCACAUUCCAGCAGUGGAGGAACAGAGUGGGCCGGAGGCAACAGCUGAAAAAUAAUUAAGAUUUGUCUGUAUAUUGCCCUGCUCACCACUUUUGACCAUCCAGGUCAAAAGCUGCAUAACAUUUAAUUCUUUUAAAGCUGGAAAGAAACUUUCCCAGCUUUUGAUCAGUGGUGCGUGAUGAAUCGCAAAGCUACCCAUGUCUUGCAGAGUGGAAAGGAAAAACACCUGACAGUUCAAUUUAAUUUAGGGUUACACUGAUUUCUCCUCCAACCCUUUAUGGGACAGUGUCAGCACUUAUCAGAUUAAAGUAUGUUAAUAUGUAUCCAGAUUAAAUAUUUCUUUUGGAGCUGCAGCCCUUGUGCUUUUACACCCUGCUUAUAAACAAUGACUUCAUGUAAAUCCUUCUGAAGGUGCUGCAAAUUCUUAUUUCAAAGAGUCAGGAUACCUCUGCUCAGGGACUCUGCCUGAAAUGUGAUCAGCCCCAGGGCAGUGGGCAAUACAUUGGUACUCCUCAUUGGAUCCGUCCCCUCUUCUGCACGGCUGGAGGCAGCACGCUGAGCCCAUGGACCCCUCCAGGACAUCAAGACCACCAUAGAGCCACCCAGCUCAGGAAAUUCUCCUGCAUGAUGGCAGAACUCUGCUGCCUGUGUUAAUGCAAGCCUAAGGCAGAUGACUGCCCCCACUAUGCUCUAUCCUGUGGUCAAACUGGACAAACUACUGCCUGGAAAUCAUAGCAAUAACGUUUAUAUGUAUUCUAGUAACAAUUGGGGAUAAAAACUGGGGAAACUCUUGGUCUUUAUUUAAUAUUCCUUCUUCAAUACACAAGUCAUUACAACAGUGAUCAGGUACCUUUAGGACAACACAAAACAUACCUAAAGAAAAAAAAACUCUAACAAAAUACCUGAUAAAUCAUCCUCUGCUGUUCUUGAAUGAAGAGCUGAAAAUCAAUUUCUACGGUUCAGAAGCAAGCAGGGAAGGAAAACAUCUUUCCAGAUAUUGGAUUUAUCACUUUGGUAGUAUAUCAAUUUAAUCAUGUCAUUCUCUUCACAGUUCACAUUGGUUUAUACAGGUGAAAAUUAGAGUUGAAUCUCCCAUACAUAAAUGUGAUCCUUCCUUUCUAUCCAGAUAGGCAUGGCUGAGCCAGGGCUGGAACUGAUAUAUGCCUGUCGCCAGAAAAAAGAAGUCUAACUCUGAAAUCCUCUAUCCAGUUGCCUUAUUUAUUAACUACCCAGUACGUUGUAUUAUAGGCUACAUCAAUUUAAUGCAAAAUCAGUUGUUUCAUGUUCCUAUGUUAUUUGAGCAGUAUUAAACUGCUUUUCCUGAAAUAGUGCCGAAAUGGGACGCUAGUUUGAGGGUUUCCUUAUGAACGACCCUUGUGAUUCUGCAGCACUCCUAUGAUGGCAGCUCCAUGUAGAUGGCGAUGCCAUUGGUCUUGUGUUCCAGGAAAACAGUCUUCUACAACCAUCCAAACCUGUCCGUUGAGGGGAAUAGUUAUGUUUUUCCCAGGCUGGGAAAUGCUUUAGUAGUGGCGUUUAUCAGUCUUCUGUUUUAAGCUUCAGAUCUGUGAAGAAGCUUCUGUGUGGGUCAGAGCAAGCCAUGAUUUACUCUAAGCUGUCAUCAGACAGCACUACCCAUUCUUUAUGUUUAGCUAUGAAUGUGGCAUUAACUAGAUCACACAAUAGGACAGAAUCAUGCAUCACACAUUGGAUGCAUUUUAGAGUCCGCUGAUGAAUAGGUGCGGCCGUCUUUAUAAUUUGUGCACCAAGAAAGAAUAGCAAUAAAAAUGGAAAUUAAAGGGAUGAAUACAGCAAAUAGAUUAUGCUAUCAUUCCUGAGCAGAGUGGAGAAGUCACUGUUGCCCAUUUAUGUUUUGACAGUUCAUGCAUCAGAUGAGAUUUGCAAAGAGGGGUACCACUGCUUGGGGAAAGUGAAGAGCAGAAUAGUCGCUGUUAAGUGUGAAUUUAACAGCGCAUUUAUUAUUUGGGCAACUUGCUUUUUGAUAAGCUAGCAAGAAAGCUUUCUGCACAAAGAAAAAAAAUUAAAUUCAGAUAGUGUAGGGAAAAUGUCACAGUCAGUCAUGUUAUCAGUCAUGUUAUCUGUCAGUUUAUCUCUCUCUUACAGUGGUCCAAACCAGAAACCUCAAAGGAAAAUUCAAGAGCCAUCAAAUAGUGUCUUCUAAUUUUAACCAGAGUUAGACAAAGGUUGGCAUAGCUUUCUCAGUAGGUCCUAUUGUCUCCAAGAGUUGAGCACUUUAAGCCCAUACAUAUGACAUCCUGUAAGAUUUGAACAUGCCCCGGGCAGUUCCGGAGCACAGGAACAGGAUUCUUGAAGUCUGAACAACUGUGUAACUGAAUCUGGCCCAUCGCAAUUCUCCCCAUGCAAGUCCCCUGUGUGAUCUGGCAGCUGGGUCAGGGGCUCUCCCCAUGCCAUUUCAGGAGCAUGGACAGCUUGCUCACACAGAAACAAACUACUGGGUACCAGCCAUUCAAAAUGCCCCAAAGCCUUCUGUAUCACGUAUACAUUCAUACAAUACAGGCUGUCACACACACAGUCUCAGUUUACCUCCCAGAACCAACUUCAUAUACCCGCAACAUGAUCAGUCCUUUUGGAAAUCUUGCUCAGUUUUACCUUCUGCAAUGCCCUAUGGCACAAACUAAGCCUGAUUAGGCACUGUGAGGAAAACAAGAACUUAUGGUUUAUUACUUAACUCCCUUUAAUUUUAUUGAAUAUAGCUCUAUUGUAAGAAGUAGGGAAAAAGCAUCUUCUGUCCUCCUUUGCCUGGAUGAGCGUUUCUUACAUUUUAAUCCUAUCUAUUGUAACUCCUUUCCUUUCUAAGGAUAUGGUCCUCAGAAUUUGAAUAACUUUGAUACAAGAUC